rnacentral:rRNA from 1 species
AACGAACGCUGGCGGCAGGCUUAACACAUGCAAGUCGAACGGACGUAGCAAUACGUUAGUGGCAGACGGGUGAGUAACGCGUGGGAAUAUGCCCUUUAGUUCGGAAUAACCAAGGGAAACUUUGGCUAAUACCGGAUAAUCCCGAGAGGGGAAAGAUUUAUCGCUGAAGGAGUAGCCCGCGUCUGAUUAGCUAGUUGGUGAGGUAACGGCUCACCAAAGCGACGAUCAGUAGCUGGUCUGAGAGGAUGAUCAGCCACACUGGGACUGAGACACGGCCCAGACUCCUACGGGAGGCAGCAGUGGGGAAUAUUGGACAAUGGGGGCAACCCUGAUCCAGCCAUGCCGCGUGAGUGAUGAAGGCCUUAGGGUUGUAAAACUCUUUUAUCCGGGAAGAUAAUGACUGUACCGGAAGAAUAAGCCCCGGCUAACUUCGUGCCAGCAGCCGCCGUAAAAC